rnacentral:rRNA from 1 species
CGGCACGGGUGAGUAACACGUAUCCAACCUGCCGUCUACUCUUGGACAGCCUUCUGAAAGGAAGAUUAAUACAAGAUGGCAUCAUGAGUCCGCAUGUUCACAUGAUUAAAGGUAUUCCGGUAGACGAUGGGGAUGCGUUCCAUUAGAUAGUAGACGGGGUAACGGCCCACCUAGUCUUCGAUGGAUAGGGGUUCUGAGAGGAAGGUCCCCCACAUUGGAACUGAGACACGGUCCAA